rfam:Trabulsiella guamensis ATCC 49490 GTGT.assembly.045, whole genome shotgun sequence.
GCAGCCGCAAAAUCGGCUGCCGGGAUUGGUCUCCCGGAUGUUAAGAGGCGACACCAGACGCGCCAGCGUCUUUUUU